CAACAUGUUCCUUUUACAUUCUCUUUUCCUUCUGUUACUUGUGCUAUGGGAAGCCCCUUAUUUCCGCCUCAACAUUAUUAAUUCUGAAUGGCAGCAGCUACAGCUCGGUACACAGAUCACGUUCCCUGCAUCCUAAACAUUGAAAAUCUCAGCAGCUACAAACAUACAAAGGGGGAGGUGAAGAUGCAGUUAGCAAUGUCGCUGGGCGAGCAAUCUGAAACCCCAGGCAAUUUUCUGCUUCGCCUUGGUUGAUGGUGAAAUUUAAAUGAAAUAGAAAUUCUGUAAUUAGAACCUAUCUGAAUGCUGACCAUGUAUCAAUUAUAAUUUAAAAAACCCCAUCUUGUUCGCUAAUGCCAAUUUAGAGAAGAAAAACUUCGACCUUCUGAAUGUAACUCCAGAUCCACAGCAAUGUUAUUGACUCUCAACUGCCCUCUGGGCAAUUCUGGAGGGGUAAUAAAGGCUGGCAAAUCCAGCAACACUCAUGUCCCAUCAAUGAAUAAAAUGCAAGUACCUGCGUUUGGGAAUGUGAAAGGUACAUUCUAAAGAAAGCUGGAUUCCAGGUGUUGAAGCAUUGCCAGUCUAGAGUUGGCCAAAUCUCCAGGAUUCUCCUGGAGUUUCCCAGAACUGAAGAUUAAUGUCCAGGGAGAGCUGGGAGCAAAAAACCCUAAAAUUAAACAAGGAUAAAAACAAA